UUAUGGAGGGCUUAAAAAAGGAGAUUUAUCGGCAAUGGGCAAAUUUGAAAUUUCUGUCCCCACUUUUAAGCAGCUUCCUCGGUUUGACAGCAGAGCAGCGUUGCCAAUCUUUGUGGAAUUCCACAAAAUGUGUGGAAUUCGUAAUAAUUUUGUGGAACGUUUGUGGAAUAGAAUAAAUGUGGAAUUUUGUGGAAUUUUCGGAAUUAUUCCUUUUUUCUUUUUUUUCCUUAUUUAGCUAAUAGUAAAAAAAGCGGUAACCAAAAAAACAUUAUAAGACUCAUUAAUUUAUCACAAUUGCAUUUUUGCCGAUCUCUACUUGCACCUACACCGCCAUCGGGCGGCAGUUGCUAAAAGCGAAAUUCUCGCUCACAGUGCUAGAAACCUGUACCUACAUAUUAAAACCAGAGAAGAACAAUACGUUUGUUCUUCUCUGAUAAAACUAUUCAAAACAAGAAUCAAACGGUCAACCGGAUCAAUCGUGUAACGUGUCGGUCGAUUGUUCAUCAAAACCAAAAUAAUAUUUUGGUUUUGGAAGGUAUUUUAUUACCUACCUUUUAUAAUAUCAAGUUAGUAUUUUUGUUCUUAUUGUUUUGUUUAUAGUUGUUUUGAUUUCUGUAUAAAUUGUCUUUCAGUGUAAUUUCCUUUGGAGUGGUGGUGGCGGUUGCUUUUACUGUUAGCUUUACAUACUAUUACAUACUAUUGGAAUUGGAAAAAUGGAUAAAUGGCUAUUAAAACUUCCCAAAAAUAAAAAAAACCAUGAGAGUAAUGAGGGCGACAGAGAGGUGGAGGCGUCUUCUUCUAGUUGCACAGUUGUGGAAUUAGAUAACAAUGAUAUAGGAAGUGAAAUUCAACCUUCUAUUUCUGCAAUUGAGGUCGUUCCAGUCCAGGAGCCAGUUAUAGGUGAUGCCAUCGCCACAGACGAUGCUAAUGCAAAUUCACAGCAAAUGCGAAAUGAAAUUGAAGUUACACGUAAAAGAAAAAUCAAUACCAAUACCAGAGCGCAGGAAAUUGAAGCUAUAGAUCUUGAAAGUGAUGAUCACGGAGAAGAGGCGGAAAAUCAAGUGAGCAUUGUUAGGAAAAAAAAGCGUUUUACUUAUAAGUUUCGUGACUCAUGGCUGCAGCUUGAUGAAUUUAAAAACUGGUUAAAAAGAUCGAGUAAAGUACAAAAUAACAAUGAAUUUGCUAAAUGCAUUAUUUGCAAUGAUGACAUUUUGGCGCACAAAGCAGAUAUUUGUCGACACAGCUUAUCAUCAAAACAUAAAAAAAAAUUCAGUCAAGUUGCGGCGAAUAACAAGAUUGAUAACGUUUUUGGAAAAAAUACCCAAUUAGAUUUGUCAACAAGAAGGGCUGAACUCAAGCUAACAGGAUUUCUAGCUUCAAAUGAUCUUCCAUUUUUGUUAAUGGACACUUUAGAACCCCUUUGCAAAGAUAUUUUUUCGGACUCGCAAGUUGCCAAAAAUAUAUCUAUUAGGCGUACAAAGGCUACGGCUAUUAUGCAAGCUGGAUUAGGGGAAAUUAUAAGCAGGGAUCUCUUUAAAAAAUUCGAAAAACCAGGCGCCUUUUUUAGUAUUAUUAUGGAUGAGACUACAGACGUGGGAUCCAUUAAGCAAUGCGCAUUUGUGAUCAUCUACUUUUGCGAAGAUAAGAAAAAAGUAGUAACGCGUUUUUUUGAUAUGGUGGAGGUAGCUUCUGGUACGGCCAAAGAUUUAUAUGAUUGCCUACGAAAUACAAUAACAUCAAAAAAAAUUCCCUUUGAAAAUCUAGUCGGGUUCUCCGCCGAUACAUGCAACGUAAUGUUUGGCGAAAAAAACUCUGUUUUUACGAUGCUGAAGCAGGACUUGCCACAAGUUGUUUGUGUCAAGUGCUCAUGCCAUAUGAUUCACCUGGCUGCUUCUAAGGCUUGUCUUGCACUACCCCGAUCGGUGGAAGACCUGGUGCGAAAUUUAGGCUCCCACUUCAGUCGAAGCUAUCACAAGCAGCAAAAAUCUAUGGAAUUCCAGGAAUUUUUUCAUGUGAAAAUCCACAAGAUAUUGCACCCAUCGGUAACUCGAUGGCUAUCUUUACAAGGCUGUGUGGACCGUGUUUUAGAGCAAUACGUCCCUUUACGUGAAUAUUUAAGAGAAACGGUGAUGAGCGAUCCAUCCAGAACCACAGACGAAAUGCUCCUUACUAUGAAUAAUAAAUUCACAAAGAUCUACUUGGAGUUUUUUCCUACACUUUGGGACUCUUAAAUAAUUUUAAUACCUUAUUCCAAUCAGAAGCGUCACUGCUAUACAAAGUUAAACAUGAGACGGAGCGCCUUUUAAAUACUCUAUGCACAAAUUAUAUUGGGUUAGAACACAUUAAAUCAUCCAACAUUUUUAAAAUGGACCAUGCCAACCCAAGAUAUAUCUUAGAAAAUGAGAAGAUAUAUCUUGGUGUCCUUGCAACAUCAAGUCUACUAGAAAUUAAGGACGAAGCUGAUAGACAAGAACUGAAUACAUUUUUUAAUUCUAGUAUUAACUUUUAUAUAGAACUUGUCACGGAUAUCAAAAAAAGAUUUACAUUUAAGGAGCCAGUGUUCCAGGUAGUCAAUGUUGUAGACCCAGUAGUGGCUCAAUUGUUUGAAAUUAAAUCUUUAGUACAUGUAGUAUCAAUGUUUCCCAUUUUGAAGCAGCAUAUAAAUCUUCAAGAUUUGGACAACGAAUGGCGGGAGCAUGCUUUGCUCGAAGACAUUGAUAAAAAUAAAAGUGCCGAAGAUUACUGGGCUCAAAUUUUUAGCUUAAAAACUUAGAGAUCGUCAUCAAUUUCUUACUAAUUUUACCUUUCUCAAACGCCAGCGUGGAACGAAUUUUUAGUACUCUAAAUAAUAUUAAGUCGGAAAAUCGAAAUAAAUUAGGUCGAGAUAGUUUGGUAGCAAUCCUGCAUACCAAAGGAGGUGUAAAAAGUGAGGGCGGCAUUAUAGCAUUUGAACCAAAUAACCAAAUGUUAAAAGGUAACAUUUGGAAAAACAAAAAAUAAAAACAGUUUUACUUAUAAUUAAUCUUUAUGUGCUCAUGUGCAAUUUGAGGUUCCUAUCUUCCUAUACACUUUUAUGUUUAUGAGUUCCUUUGUGUGUUGUGUUAUUUUAUGUUAAGUUUAAUGUGUUCCUUAUGUAAUAUUUUUUUAGUUUACCUACUUUGCACACAAAUAAUGUAAUUUUAGAUAAGGUUUUUACGUGUUGUUUAUGUUUAUAAUAAACUUAUAAAAGUUUUAUUUUUAUUUUACCCAAAAAGAGAAAUUUUUUAAAAAUCCCUCUGAUCUCGGUAUAUUUAGGUACUACAUUUAUAUGAGUUUGGCGCCCUCUACCAAUUGGAUGCCGAAAUAAUAAUUUUACAGAUUUCUGUAAAGAGCGUCGCCCUCGAGAUCAGUAGCUAGGUUCGGUAUUUAGAUAAUGUUUAGAUCUGCAAGCAAUCCGACGAAAUUUUCGACAUAUCACAUAUCACACGUCACUAUAUAAUGUAAAAUCCCUUUAAGAUCACGUGGUUUAUAUAAAAACAAUGUCGGAUUGGUCGCAGACCUAAAGACCGAACCUGGCUAGUGAUUGUGGAAUUUUGUGGAAUUUGGGUAUGUUCGCUGUGGAAUAUAAGUUUGGACCAUUGGCAACGCUGCUAGAAAUACACAGCUUCUUAUGGCAAGAAUAACUAUUUUGUUAUAAAUUAUAGAGCCAAGUUAAUAUUUGGGCAUAUUUUUACCAGAGUUAGCUUUUAGAAACGUGGUUUUUCUAAUUGAGCAAUUGCAUACACGACCGAAGAAACAUAUAAGCUGCUAAAAUAAAUCUUCCCUAGAACUGUUGUACAAAAAAGAUAGAAGUUCCAGCAACAAAUUUAUCACCAGUUCAACCUUUGAUUUGAUGUAAACAGUAAUUGUUUCUUGAUGAGAAAUGCGAAUGAAAUAGUUUAUGGUGUGAUUGUGUUAGUGUUUUAUUAAUAGUUUUGUUGAUGCAGUUUAAAGGUUCAUAGUUUUUCAUUAAAACAUUUGAAAUUGA